rnacentral:rRNA from 1 species
AACGUAGGAGGCUAGCGUUAUCCGGAUUUACUGGGCGUAAAGCGCAUGCAGGUGGUUUUGUAAGUUGGAUGUGAAAGCUCCUGGCUUAACUGGGAGAGGUCGUUCAAAACUACAAGACUUGAGAUUGGUAGAGGAAAAUGGAAUUCCGGGUGUAGUGGUGAAAUGCGUAGAUAUCCGGAGGAACACCAGUGGCGAAAGCGGUUUUCUGGACCAAUUCUGACACUCAGAUGCGAAAGCUAAGGUAGCAAACGGG